rnacentral:rRNA from 1 species
AAUGCCUAGGGAUCUGCCCAGUCGAGGGGGAUAACAGUUGGAAACGACUGCUAAUACCGCAUACGCCCUACGGGGGAAAGGAGGGGACCUUCGGGCCUUCCGCGAUUGGAUGAACCUAGGUGGGAUUAGCUAGAUGGUGAGGUAAUGGCUCACCAAGGCGACGAUCCCUAGCUGUUCUGAGAGGAUGAUCAGCCACGCUGGGACUGAGACACGGCCCAGACUCCUACGGGAGGCAGCAGUGGGGAAUAUUGCACAAUGGGGGAAACCCUGAUGCAGCCAUGCCGCGUGUGUGAAGAAGGCCUUCGGGUUGUAAAGCACUUUCAGUAGGGAGGGAAGGUAGCAGCUUAAUACGCUGUUGCUGUGACGUUACCUACAGAAGAAGGACCGGCUAACUCCGUGCCAGCAGCCGCGGUAAUACGGAGGGUCCGAGCGUUAAUCGGAAUUACUGGGCGUAAAGCGUGCGCAGGCGGUUUGUUAAGCGAGAUGUGAAAGCCCCGGGCUCAACCUGGGAAUUGCAUUUCGAACUGGCGAACUAGAGUCUUGUAAAGGGGGGUAGAAUUCCAGGUGUAGCGGUGAAAUGCGUAGAGAUCUGGAGGAAUACCGGUG